rnacentral:rRNA from 1 species
CAGUCGACGGCAGCACGGGAAGCAAUCCUGGUGGCGAGUGGCGAACGGGUGAGUAAUAUAUCGGAACGUGCCCAGUAGUGGGGGAUAGCCCGGCGAAAGCCGGAUUAAUACCGCAUACGACCUGAGGGUGAAAGCGGGGGAUCGCAAGACCUCGCGCUAUUGGAGCGGCCGAUAUCAGAUUAGCUAGUUGGUGGGGUAAAGGCCUACCAAGGCUACGAUCUGUAGUUGGUCUGAGAGGACGACCAGCCACACUGGGACUGAGACACGGCCCAGACUCCUACGGGAGGCAGCAGUGGGGAAUUUUGGACAAUGGGCGCAAGCCUGAUCCAGCAAUGCCGCGUGCAGGAAGAAGGCCUUCGGGUUGUAAACUGCUUUUGUCAGGGAAGAAAUCUUCUGGGCUAAUACCCCGGGAGGAUGACGGUACCUGAAGAAUAAGCACCGGCUAACUACGUGCCAGCAGCCGCGGUAAUACGUAGGGUGCGAGCGUUAAUCGGAAUUACUGGGCGUAAAGCGUGCGCAGGCGGCUUUGCAAGACAGAUGUGAAAUCCCCGGGCUCAACCUGGGAACUGCAUUUGUGACUGCAAGGCUAGAGUACGGCAGAGGGGGAUGGAAUUCCGCGUGUAGCAGUGAAAUGCGUAGAUAUGCGGAGGAACACCAAUGGCGAAGGCAAUCCCCUGGGCCUGUACUGACGCUCAUGCACGAAAGCGUGGGGAGCAAACAGGAUUAGAUACC